rnacentral:rRNA from 1 species
GAGGAAUAUUGGACAAUGGGUGAGAGCCUGAUCCAGCCAUCCCGCGUGAAGGACGACGGCCCUAUGGGUUGUAAACUUCUUUUGUACAGGGAUAAACCUUUCCACGUGUGGAAAGCUGAAGGUACUGUACGAAUAAGCACCGGCUAACUCCGUGCCAGCAGCCGCGGUAAUACGGAGGGUGCAAGCGUUAUCCGGAUUUAUUGGGUUUAAAGGGUCCGUAGGCGGAUCUGUAAGUCAGUGGUGAAAUCUCAUAGCUUAACUAUGAAACUGCCAUUGAUACUGCAGGUCUUGAGUGAUGUUGAAGUGGCUGGAAUGUGUAGUGUAGCGGUGAAAUGCUUAGAUAUUACGCAGAACACCAAUUGCGAAGGCAGGUCACUAAGUAUCAACUGACGCUGAUGGACGAAAGCGUGGGGAGCGAACA